UGAAUCAAAAAAGAAAAAGAAGAAGAAGAUAACCUUUUUUUUUUUUAUGGGAUUCCCUUGCUCUGGUAUUAACUGUCAAAUUUUUUGUAUAUUACCGAAUCUACGUAUUAUUAAACAAGCAAUUGAGUUCAAUUUUCGAUUUCGUGUUGAAGCAUAUUUGGUUCUCAUCAUUUAAAAACAAAACAUGGAAAACGCAGCAGAGUACAGACGAAGCACUCUUAUUAAGGCAGAGUCUUGGUUCAGUUGGUUGAUAAGGAUCAUCAAGGAGUUUUUCUCAUUCGGAAGAACUACAACCAAGACGGUCAUCAACAAAUUUGACAGCAAGAUUUUCCAGGACGAAUUAACUAACGUCAGUUCGGAGCAAUUUUCUCGUGGUUUAGCCAGAUUGGUCCUUAGAAUCAUAUCCUUUGGUUUCAUUAAUUAGAUAUUAUAUUAUUUGUCAAGAUUGAAUAAAUACAGAUGAAAAAUUAGUAAAA